rnacentral:rRNA from 1 species
GGGGAGUGAAAAAGAACCUGAAACCGUGUACGUACAAGCAGUGGGAGCACCCUUUUGGGUGUGACUGCGUACCUUUUGUAUAAUGGGUCAGCGACUUAUAUUCUGUAGCAAGGUUAACCGAAUAGGGGAGCCGGAGGGAAACCGAGUCUUAAUUGGGCGUUAAGUUGCAGGGUAUAGACCCGAAACCCGGUGAUCUAGCCAUGGGCAGGUUGAAGGUUGGGUAACACUAACUGGAGGACCGAACCGACUAAUGUUGAAAAAUUAGCGGAUGACCUGUGGCUGGGGGUGAAAGGCCAAUCAAACCGGGAGAUAGCUGGUUCUCCCCGAAAGCUAUUUAGGUAGCGCCUCGUGAAUUCAUCUCCGGGGGUAGAGCACUGUUUCGGCUAGGGGGCCAUCCCGGCUUACCAACCCGAUGCAAACUGCGAAUACCGGAGAAUGUUAUCACGGGAGACACACGGCGGGUGCUAACGUCCGUCGUGAAGAGGGAAACAACCCAGACCGCCAGCUAAGGUCCCAAAGUCAUGGUUAAGUGGGAAACGAUGUGGGAAGGCCCAGACAGCCAGGAUGUUGGCUUAGAAGCAGCCAUCAUUUAAAGAAAGCGUAAUAGCUCACUGGUCGAGUCGGCCUGCGCGGAAGAUGUAACGGGGCUAAACCAUG